GUGGGGAAUAUUGGACAAUGGGGGGAACCCUGAUCCAGCCAUGCCGCGUGUGUGAAGAAGGCCUUUUGGUUGUAAAGCACUUUAAGCGAGGAGGAGGCUACCGAGAUUAAUACUCUUGGAUAGUGGACGUUACUCGCAGAAUAAGCACCGGCUAACUCUGUGCCAGCAGCCGCGGUAAUACAGAGGGUGCAAGCGUUAAUCGGAUUUACUGGGUGUAAAGCGCGCGUAGGUGGCCAAUUAAGUCAAAUGUGAAAUCCCCGAGCUUAACUUGGGAAUUGCAUUCGAUACUGGUUGGCUAGAGUAUGGGAGAGGAUGGUAGAAUUCCAGGUGUAGCGGUGAAAUGCGUAGAGAUCUGGAGGAAUACCGAUGGCGAAGGCAGCCAUCUGGCCUAAUACUGACACUGAGGUGCGAAAGCAUGGGGAGCAAACAGGAUUAGAAACCCGGGUAGUCC
rnacentral:rRNA from 1 species